GCUAUGGCUCAGUGGUAGAGUGCUUGCCUAGCAUGCAUAGGGCCCUAGGUUCAAUCCCCAGUACAGCA
rnacentral:tRNA from 1 species